rnacentral:rRNA from 1 species
GUGGGGAAUAUUGGACAAUGGGCGAAAGCCUGAUCCAGCCAUGCCGCGUGUGUGAAGAAGGCCUUUUGGUUGUAAAGCACUUUAAGCGAGGAGGAGGCUACCGAGAUUAAUACUCUUGGAUAGUGGACGUUACUCGCAGAAUAAGCACCGGCUAACUCUGUGCCAGCAGCCGCGGUAAUACAGAGGGUGCAAGCGUUAAUCGGAUUUACUGGGCGUAAAGCGCGCGUAGGUGGCCAAUUCAGUCAAAUGUGAAAUCCGCGAGCUUAACUGGGGAAUUGCUGUCGAUGCUUGGUGGCUAGAGGAUGGGAGAGGAUGGUAGAAUUCCAGGUGUAGCGGUGAGAUGCGUAGAGAUCUGGAGGAAUACCGAUGGCGAAGGCAGCCAUCUGGCCUAAUACUGACACUGGGGUGCGAAAGCAUGGGGAGCAAACAGGAUUAGAAACCCCUGUAGUCC